UUGAAUUCAAAUCACGUUAAGCCUUUAGCUAAUUAAUUGGACAUUUGAUUAGACUUAGGGCGAGCCGCAUUAGACGAGUAAUAAUUUAUGGCCCUCGAAAACUAAGUUAAGAGAUACUUUUGAUAGAAUAAUUGAGGCGCGACAUUCCAAAUAAAACAUCAAAAUGAAUGGCCCUCCUUUAAUUAAUUUUAAUCCUUAGAAAUCGGGUUGUGCUGUUUAGUUGAACUUUCCAUGGCUCUCACAAAUUUGAAAUUGCAUAGUUUUUUUUGGCGUGCUAUUAUAAAAACUAAUUUCCUAAAUUCGGGUGUGCUUUUGAUGUGAUCCAAAUUCAAAUCUCAACAAUGUUAAAUAAAAUUUAUCGUGCACCUUGGGUGCAUUUCAUGUGGCGUGGUUUAAAGACAUAUUUUAGAUAACGUUAAAUCUUCGUAAAAUUAAUUAAAAGCGGUUAAUAAUUUAAAAUUAUACCAUAGAAGCGAUGACUUAAGCCUCU
rnacentral:lncRNA from 1 species